AGCGAACGUUAGCGGCGGGCCUAACACAUGCAAGUCGAACGCGAAAGGUCUUCGGACUGAGUAGAGUGGCGCACGGGUGAGUAACACGUAGGUAAUCUACCCUUUGGCGGGGGAUAACGUUCCGAAAGGAGCGCUAAUACCGCAUAAGACCACGGAGUCUCCGGACGCUGUGGGAAAAGGUGGCCUCUUCUUGAAAGCUACCACCGAAGGAUGAGCCUGCGUCCCAUCAGCUAGUUGGUAAGGUAAUGGCUUACCAAGGCGAAGACGGGUAGCUGGUUUGAGAGAAUGAUCAGCCACACUGGCACUGGAACACGGGCCAGACUCCUACGGGAGGCAGCAGUGAGGAAUAUUGGGCAAUGGGCGAAAGCCUGACCCAGCCACGCCGCGUGAGUGAUGAAGGCCCUCGGGUCGUAAAGCUCUGUGGAGAGGGACGAAAACCCUGGUUUCCAAAUAGGCUCCAGGCUUGACGGUACCUCUUUAGCAAGCACCGGCUAACUCUGUGCCAG
rnacentral:rRNA from 1 species